CCCUUAGAUGUUCUGGGCUGCACGCGCGCUACACUGAAGUGUUCAACGAGUAUUCACCUUGCCCGGGAGGGUUGGGUAAUCUUUUGAAAACGCUUCGUGAUGGGGAUAGAUUAUUGCAAUUAUUAAUCUUCAACGAGGAAUUCCUAGUAAGCGCGAGUCAUCAGCUCGUGCUGAUUACGUCCCUGCCCUUUGUACACACCGCCCGUCGCCCCUACCGAUUGAGUGAUCCGGUGAAUAAUUCGGACUGCAGCACUGCUUGGUCUCCAGGCUUUGCAGCGGAAAGUUUAGUGAACCUUAUCACUUAGAGGAAGGAGAAGUCGUAACA
rnacentral:rRNA from 1 species